rnacentral:lncRNA from 1 species
UAUAGGCCGAUAGCCUAUAACUGUUACCCAAACUCGUAGUUUAGUUGAUAUUAUAUCAAUUCAUUUUUCACAUUAUGAUUUCGGGAUAUACUCAAGUCAUUAGCAAAGGAAUAUCGCUAUACAUGUAUAUACCGUAUAUAUUUUUUGCAAUAUCAGAAAUAAUUUGACAUACUGUAAUUACUUAAGGGUCUCGGUUCGUAGAAUAGCUGCAACCCUAGCAGUAGCAUUGCAAUUGCAAAACAAAAGCCACAGUCAGGGAAUGGAGAUUAAAAGUUUAUUGAGACCAGCAGAAUAAUAGCCCUUCUCGCUCUAACAAUAGGGGAUGUGUCACACAAGAUCACGCCUAGCUGCGCUGCACGUACACCGGUAUUUGCCUUUUCACAUCGUGACAUUACAAACCGCUCUCGAUAACCAGGUCUUUGUUUAAGCCAAAAUAGCUCUUCUCGACAUUGUUUUUGUUUUGGAUCACGUUUUGGCUACUGUUUGAGUGUUUCUCUCUUCAGAAGUUCUCUUACGCGUUAUUAUUGACAUUUUUAAUUACGAGUUAAAACUAGGAGUUUCAUCUUCUUCAGUUGGUAGUGGUACGUAGUGCCGUACUCGUUCACUGUACGUGGUUACUCGCCCCCGCCCGGGACCGGGCGCGGCCGUCCCAGCUGCAGAGCCAGCCAAGCAGUUCGAGUGAAAGCGACGAGUAAACCAUAUGGGACAAUGAACUCGGAGUCUACACUUUGUUUCUACAAGUCAACGGGCAACUUGCUCAAUCGAAGAGGACUGGGGAAGUGUACAACAGGCCUGUCGUUUCCGUCCGGCGAAACAAAGAGAUCAUGAUGGAGAACCCAGAAGUACCACAACUGAAUUGGGAAGGACAGUGAGAAGUCUCUGGAGGACAGGAGAUGUGUGUGCAUUUGAGUUUUGUCAGAUGUGUAUCAAUCAGAUUAUUUACGUCUGGGACCGACCUUUUACAUCACAAUCUGAAAGACGUGACCAGGGCUCGAAACUCUGCAUCAAUUUGUAACUUCCCCACAGCUUGGAUUACAGGUGCAAGCCACAACGCCCAGGACAGGAGAGCUGU